AAAACACAAGUCAUUUCAAUUCAGUCAAUUUAUUUAUUUUGUUUUAUUAUUUCAUAGCAGGUCCAUCAACCUCCAUCUCGACCUCCAUCAUUGCUCUCAUCCAAGAAGCUGACAAUACUGGUCUACCUGUGCCUACUGAAGUGGAGAGUAGUACCAUCAUGCUUACUACCACACCUGUCUCUCUGGUUUCUACCCCUCCAGUGGAUCCAACUGACUGGCCAUCAGUCCUUAAUGAGCAGUUAUACGUUGAUGUGGUGAGCAGUAAAACCAGUACAGGCUGACAGAAACAUUUUGACUUUUCCAAAAAGACACUCAGACAGCAAAAGUCUUUUCUGUCAUUACAUGUUUAGAUCACUCAUAAAGAAGAUGGUUGAGAAAAUGAUGC